rnacentral:rRNA from 1 species
UACGUAGGCAGCAAGCGUUGUUCGGAGUUACUGGGCGUAAAGGGUGCGUAGGCGGCUUCUUAAGUCUGGUGUGAAAUCUCCCGGCUCAACUGGGAGGGUGCGCCGGAUACUGAGGGGCUAGAGUGUGAUAGAGGAUGGUGGAAUUCCCGGUGUAGCGGUGAAAUGCGUAGAGAUCGGGAGGAACAUCAGUGGCGAAGGCGGCCAUCUGGAUCAACACUGACGCUGAGGCACGAAAGCGUGGGGAGCAAACAGG